GGGGGCGUACUGGAUUCGACGGGGGUUUGAAAUGGCAGAAGGAGCGAGCCGAGGGCCAGGGCCUCGUUAAAAACUGGAAACGGCUUUAACUGCCAACGAUAACUACGCUUUCGCUGCUUAGAUAAAGCAGCCGUCCUGUCUGUCUCCUGUCUGCGGGGACUGAUAAGGGCGACGCUAAUGCAGGCUACCAACAACACCUGUCUCCGGUGUUUGCGGGAAAUUUAGGGAGACUUGUCGAAGCGGAUUCGGUCCCUGGAAGCCGCGGCUGACGAAACUAAUGCAGGGACUGCGCUCGGAGAUACUUCUGUUGUUUGACCUUCGGACGCGGGUUCGACUCCCGCCGCCUCCACCA
rnacentral:tmRNA from 1 species